GAUGAACGCUAGCGGCAGGCUUAACACAUGCAAGUCGAGGGGCAGCACGGACUUCGGUCUGGUGGCGACCGGCAAACGGGUGCGGAACACGUACACAAUCUACCUUUAUCUGGGGUAUAGCCCGAAGAAAUUCGGAUUAAUCCCCCAUAAUAUAUUAGAGUGGCAUCACUUCGAUAUUAAAACUCCGGUGGAUAAAGAUGAGUGUGCGUCCCAUUAGCUAGUUGGUAGGGUAACGGCCUACCAAAGCAACGAUGGGUAGCUGGUGUGAGAGCACGACCGGCCACACGGGCAGUGAGACACGGGCCCGACUCCUACGGGAGGCAGCAGUGAGGAAUAUUGGUCAAUGGACGCAAGUCUGAACCAGCCAUGCCGCGUGAAGGGUGAAGGCCUUCAGGGUUGUAAACUUCUUUUAUUGGGGAAGAAAAUUACGGUUUCUACUGUAACCGACGGUACCCAAGGAAUAAGCACCGGCUAACUCCGUGCCAGCCGCCGCUGUAA
rnacentral:rRNA from 1 species